rnacentral:tRNA from 1 species
GCUGGAGUAGCUCAGUCGGUUAGAGCGUAUGGCUGUUAACCAUAAGGUCAGAGGUUCAACCCCUCUCUCUAGCG